rnacentral:rRNA from 1 species
AUUGAACGCUGGCGGCAGGCCUAACACAUGCAAGUCGAGCGGUAGAGAGAAGCUUGCUUCUCUUGAGAGCGGCGGACGGGUGAGUAAUGCCUAGGAAUCUGCCUGGUAGUGGGGAAUAACGUUCGGAAACGGACGCUAAUACCGCAUACGUCCUACGGGAGAAAGCAGGGGACCUUCGGGCCUUGCGCUAUCAGAUGAGCCUAGGUCGGAUUAGCUAGUUGGUGGGGUAAUGGCUCACCAAGGCGACGAUCCGUAACUGGUCUGAGAGGAUGAUCAGUCACACUGGAACUGAGACACGGUCCAGACUCCUACGGGAGGCAGCAGUGGGGAAUAUUGGACAAUGGGCGAAAGCCUGAUCCAGCCAUGCCGCGUGUGUGAAGAAGGUCUUCGGAUUGUAAAGCACUUUAAGUUGGGAAGAAGGGCAGUAAAUUAAUACUUUGCUGUUUUGACGUUACCGACAGAAUAAGCACCGGCUAACUCUGUG